AUUGAACGCUGGCGGCAGGCCUAACACAUGCAAGUCGAACGAGUGGCGGACGGGUGAGUAAUGUAUGGGAAACUGCCUGAUGGAGGGGGAUAAAUACUGGAAACGGUAGCUAAUACCGCAUACCAUCGGAUGUGCCCAGAUGGGAUUAGCUAGUAGGUGGGGUAAAGGCUCACCUAGGCGACGAUCCCUAGCUGGUCUGAGAGGAUGACCGGCCACACUGGGACUUAGACACGGUCCAGACUCCUACGGGAGGCAGCAGUGGGGAAUAUUCCACAAUGGGCGCAAGCCUGAUGCAGCCAUGCCGCGUGUAUGAAGAAGGCCUUCGGGUUGUAAAGUACUUUCAGCGGGGAGGCGUUACCCGCAGAAGAAGCCCCGGCUAACUCCGUGCCAGCAGCCGCGGUAAUAC
rnacentral:rRNA from 1 species